rnacentral:rRNA from 1 species
UACGAAGGAUCCAAGCGUUGUCCGGAUUUACUGGGUUUAAAGGGAGCGUAGGCGGUCCUAUAAGUCAGUGGUGAAAGCCUUCAGCUUAACUGAAGAAUUGCCAUUGAAACUGUAGGACUCGAGUAUGGUUGAGGUCACUGGAAUAUAACAUGUAGCGGUGAAAUGCUUAGAUAUGUUAUAGAACACCAAUUGCGAAGGCAGGUGACUAAGCCAUAACUGACGCUGAGGCUCGAAAGCGUGGGGAGCAAACAGG